AGCGAUAACUAGCGAGUGUGUCUGUACGAGUUAUGAGAGGUUGGUAGCCCUGGUAGGAAGGUUUGGUGGGUUGGUAGCCCUGGGAGGGAAGGUUUGGUGGAUUGGUAGCCCUGGGAGGGAAGGUUUGGUGGGUUGGUAGCCCUGGGAGGGAAGGUUUGGUGGGUUGGUAGCCCUGGGAGGGAAGGCUUGGUGGGAUG